GCACCGCGAGCGUACAAAACAACCGCGCGACACUGAUAAUGUCGAGGUCGGAAGUUCAAAUCUUCCACCGCCCACCA
rnacentral:tRNA from 1 species